CACAAGAAAAACUUAAGGGCCAUGCAGCGCCAUGCUGACGACCUGAAGCAAAGAGAGGAAAACGGAGAGACUGGAGACUGAGAAAGGCGCAAAAUUCCUCUCAUUCCACUCACGCAGUGUUUUCCAAAUUCCUGAAACGACAACAGGGACUUAUCAUGAAAGCAGAGGGUGCCACAAAGGGGAAAUGACAAAACCUUUGCCUCAACAACCAGAGCAGCAUUACAGAAGUUACCAGACAUACCUCAAGAAGAAUCCUUUACUUUAGGCAGUGCAUGGAAAAUCGUAUUUCUGUAACUGGGAUUCAUUUUAAGCAUAAUCUUGGGCUCCCACUUAGUUUGUCUUCUGAAAGGAGUAAAAUAGGCUUGAGUCAUGAAAGAGUUAAACCCUAACAGCAGGGAGUCAGAUGGCUGUUUCAUAAGUUACUGUCUCUGUUAAUGCUCUAUUGUACAGCUGUCCACAGAUUGUACUGCUGAUAUGAACUCUAGAGACAAAUAAACGAAGCCUCUUUUGCACUUUUCUAGUUGUCAGAGUUUUUAACAGCAAUGGGACAGGACUGACCCCACAGACAAAGCUAUUGGGAAACAACAGAAAUGAUUUCCAUUGGGACGAAUGAGUGUUCAGACUCCAGAUCAAUGAAGAAUGAAAGUCAUACACAUUCCGAUCAACGUGAAGAGCAAGUACAUGACAGCACAAUAUAUGACCUGGCAGGGACUGGAGAUUCUUGGAAAAGAAGCGGAACUUUGGAAGAAGCAAUGGAACAUAGUGCUGUCCACUCUUGGCUCGCUAGACCUUGGAAGAACCCCUCAUAUGUUGCUCACACCUGAGGUUUGCCCUGGAGAAAUUAGCCUGAACAGUCACUGUAAAAGAGUUGUGUUUGUCAUGGGUUUUUCUUUUGGACUGAUGUUAAUAAUGAUGGAAAUCCAUUUUUAGGACUACUGCCAUUUGGAAUAAAAGAUAAAAUAAGAUUAAAAAAAGACUGGUAAAGCAGACCCAAAGCUUUUCCUGCCUCAUGCAACUGGAGAAAUGAUGGUGGUUCAAAACAUUUGACUAUAUCUGAGGUUUCUGAAAUAUUUAAGGAUAUUAUAUAAAGAUAAGUUCUGAACCUGUGUUAGGGAAGCUACUUUGAAAUUGUGCUGUAGCUUCCUAAGCUUCUCUUAACUUAAAGGGGUCAUGACAUGAGAAAUAAAAUUUUCCUUGAUCUUUUAACAUAUAAGGGGCCAUUGCACUAUAAAAACAUACUGUAAGUUUCAGAACUCAAAACUUCCUCCUCACUGCAAAAAGAGCAUUUGUUGAAACCAAGCUGCCAAAACAACUCGUUCUUUACUUUCUCCACAUUUUGAUGUCAUACCGUGGUAGACAUUUGCAUCUGACUGCCUCCACAACAACACAUCAGUGCCUACAUUACCUUAUCACGUCCGUAGCCUGCACAGUAGAAGUCAGCAUUGAGAUGACAAGGAAAGAGCAGGUCAGGCAAGAGCAGAGAGCCAAUCAUAACAGUGGGCGUUUACUGUCAAGUCUUAAAGGAGAAGCCGCACCAAAACCAAGCAUUUCUGACAGAGGAUCAGAAUGAGGGUGGAAAAUUUAUAAAUGAACUUUAAAGAACAUAUUAAAAUAAUGAAAUAAAAGGCAUGUCAUGACCCCUUUAAAGUAGCUAAACUACAGACAAGUUACUCUUUAAAAAAGUAUUUCGCCACACUGCAAGCUACUAACAACAAACAGUCUAGCUAACAACAUUUAAGCUAUUAAAGAAUAUAUUUAAUUUUGCAAUCAAAACAAUAUUUAUCUGGCACAAAAACAAUGAAGAUCUCUAUAGGCUGGCAACGUUAGAAAUACAUUCAUAAAAUGUUUUAUAUUUUGUGGUAACACUUUACAAUAAGAUUGUAAUUGUUAACAUUAGUUAACUUCAUUAAGGCGAACUAACAUAGAACAAUAAUUUUACAUCACUUAUUAAUAUUGGUUAAUGUUAUUUUCAGCAUAUGCUAAUGCAUUUUUCAAAUGAAAAGUUGUAUAUGUUAAUAUUAGUUAAUGCAUUAUGAUCUAACAUGAACAAACAAUGAACAAUUGGAUUUUCAUAAAUUAACAUUAACCAAGAUGAAUAUAUGCCG